UCCGGCUUGACACCGGCAGUCUCCUUAGAGUGCCCGGCUUGACCCGCUGGUAACUAAGGACAAAGGUUUCGCUCGUUAAGGGACUUAACCCGACAUCUCACAACACGAGCUGACGACAGCCAUGCAGCACCUGUGCACGUUCCACGGCAAGCCGCGUCACCGAUGUUUCCACCGACUAAUCCGUGCAUGUCAAAUCUAGGAUAAGGUUCUUCGCGUAGCCUCGAAUUAAGCCACAUGCUCCACCGCUGGUGUGAGCCCCCGUCAAUUCCUUUGAGUUUCAGCCUUGCGACCAUACUCCCCAGGCGGGGUACUUAACACUUUCGCUACGGCAGAAGGCGCUAUCGGAGCGCUUUCUACCCAGUACCCAUCGUUUAAGGCUAGGACUAC
rnacentral:misc_RNA from 1 species